UAAGCGACUAAGCGUACACGGUGGAUGCCCUGGCAGUCAGAGGCGAUGAAGGACGUGCUAAUCUGCGAUAAGCGUCGGUGAGGUGAUAUGAACCGUUAUAACCGGCGAUUUCCGAAUGGGGAAACCCAGUGUGUUUCGUCACACUAUCAUUAACUGAAUCCAUAGGUUAAUGAGGCGAACCGGGGGAACUGAAACAUCUAAGUACCCCGAGGAAAAGAAAUCAACCGAGAUUCCCCCAGUAGCGGCGAGCGAACGGGGAGGAGCCCAGAGCCUGAAUCAGUGUGUGUGUUAGUGGAAGCGUCUGGAAAGGCGCGCGAUACAGGGUGACAGCCCCGUACACAAAAAUGCACAUACUGUGAGCUCGAUGAGUAGGGCGGGACACGUGGUAUCCUGUCUGAAUAUGGGGGGACCAUCCUCCAAGGCUAAAUACUCCUGACUGACCGAUAGUGAACCAGUACCGUGAGGGAAAGGCGAAAAGAACCCCGGCGAGGGGAGUGAAAAAGAACCUGAAACCGUGUACGUACAAGCAGUGGGAGCCUCUUAAUGGGGUGACUGCGUACCUUUUGUAUAAUGGGUCAGCGACUUAUAUUCUGUAGCAAGGUUAACCGAAUAGGGGAGCCGAAGGGAAACCGAGUCUUAACUGGGCGUUAAGUUGCAGGGUAUAGACCCGAAACCCGGUGAUCUAGCCAUGGGCAGGUUGAAGGUUGGGUAACACUAACUGGAGGACCGAACCGACUAAUGUUGAAAAAUUAGCGGAUGACUUGUGGCUGGGGGUGAAAGGCCAAUCAAACCGGGAGAUAGCUGGUUCUCCCCGAAAGCUAUUUAGGUAGCGCCUCGUGAAUUCAUCUCCGGGGGUAGAGCACUGUUUCGGCAAGGGGGUCAUCCCGACUUACCAACCCGAUGCAAACUGCGAAUACCGGAGAAUGUUAUCACGGGAGACACACGGCGGGUGCUAACGUCCGUCGUGAAGAGGGAAACAACCCAGACCGCCAGCUAAGGUCCCAAAGUCAUGGUUAAGUGGGAAACGAUGUGGGAAGGCCCAGACAGCCAGGAUGUUGGCUUAGAAGCAGCCAUCAUUUAAAGAAAGCGUAAUAGCUCACUGGUCGAGUCGGCCUGCGCGGAAGAUGUAACGGGGCUAAACCAUGCACCGAAGCUGCGGCAGCGACACUAUGUGUUGUUGGGUAGGGGAGCGUUCUGUAAGCCUGUGAAGGUGGCCUGUGAGGGUUGCUGGAGGUAUCAGAAGUGCGAAUGCUGACAUAAGUAACGAUAAAGCGGGUGAAAAGCCCGCUCGCCGGAAGACCAAGGGUUCCUGUCCAACGUUAAUCGGGGCAGGGUGAGUCGACCCCUAAGGCGAGGCCGAAAGGCGUAGUCGAUGGGAAACAGGUUAAUAUUCCUGUACUUGGUGUUACUGCGAAGGGGGGACGGAGAAGGCUAUGUUGGCCGGGCGACGGUUGUCCCGGUUUAAGCGUGUAGGCUGGUUUUCCAGGCAAAUCCGGAAAACCAAGGCUGAGGCGUGAUGACGAGGCACUACGGUGCUGAAGCGACAAAUGCCCUGCUUCCAGGAAAAGCCUCUAAGCAUCAGGUAACAUCAAAUCGUACCCCAAACCGACACAGGUGGUCAGGUAGAGAAUACCAAGGCGCUUGAGAGAACUCGGGUGAAGGAACUAGGCAAAAUGGUGCCGUAACUUCGGGAGAAGGCACGCUGAUAUGUAGGUGAAGCGACUUGCUCGUGGAGCUGAAAUCAGUCGAAGAUACCAGCUGGCUGCAACUGUUUAUUAAAAACACAGCACUGUGCAAACACGAAAGUGGACGUAUACGGUGUGACGCCUGCCCGGUGCCGGAAGGUUAAUUGAUGGGGUUAGCGGCAACGCGAAGCUCUUGAUCGAAGCCCCGGUAAACGGCGGCCGUAACUAUAACGGUCCUAAGGUAGCGAAAUUCCUUGUCGGGUAAGUUCCGACCUGCACGAAUGGCGUAAUGAUGGCCAGGCUGUCUCCACCCGAGACUCAGUGAAAUUGAACUCGCUGUGAAGAUGCAGUGUACCCGCGGCAAGACGGAAAGACCCCGUGAACCUUUACUAUAGCUUGACACUGAACAUUGAGCCUUGAUGUGUAGGAUAGGUGGGAGGCUUUGAAGUGUGGACGCCAGUCUGCAUGGAGCCGACCUUGAAAUACCACCCUUUAAUGUUUGAUGUUCUAACGUUGGCCCGUAAUCCGGGUUGCGGACAGUGUCUGGUGGGUAGUUUGACUGGGGCGGUCUCCUCCUAAAGAGUAACGGAGGAGCACGAAGGUUGGCUAAUCCUGGUCGGACAUCAGGAGGUUAGUGCAAUGGCAUAAGCCAGCUUGACUGCGAGCGUGACGGCGCGAGCAGGUGCGAAAGCAGGUCAUAGUGAUCCGGUGGUUCUGAAUGGAAGGGCCAUCGCUCAACGGAUAAAAGGUACUCCGGGGAUAACAGGCUGAUACCGCCCAAGAGUUCAUAUCGACGGCGGUGUUUGGCACCUCGAUGUCGGCUCAUCACAUCCUGGGGCUGAAGUAGGUCCCAAGGGUAUGGCUGUUCGCCAUUUAAAGUGGUACGCGAGCUGGGUUUAGAACGUCGUGAGACAGUUCGGUCCCUAUCUGCCGUGGGCGCUGGAGAACUGAGGGGGGCUGCUCCUAGUACGAGAGGACCGGAGUGGACGCAUCACUGGUGUUCGGGUUGUCAUGCCAAUGGCACUGCCCGGUAGCUAAAUGCGGAAGAGAUAAGUGCUGAAAGCAUCUAAGCACGAAACUUGCCCCGAGAUGAGUUCUCCCUGACUCCUUGAGGGUCCUGAAGGAACGUUGAAGACGACGACGUUGAUAGGCCGGGUGUGUAAGCGCAGCGAUGCGUUGAGCUAACCGGUACUAAUGAACCGUGAGGCUUAACCU
rnacentral:rRNA from 1 species